rnacentral:ncRNA from 2 species
AAUCAAUCAAUGAUGAAAGAUACCUUUUAAAUGAACAGUCGCAGAGAGAAAAACAGAGCUGAAAGUUUUUCACACCCAUUUAAUUGACCACUUUCAAAGGCAACACAACUGAUCGGGUCGUUUCCGUUAAAGACGCUUAAAGUUGGAGAACCUAAUGUUGGGGUCUCAAUCUGGGUGGAACCGCGAAAUUAAUUCGUCCCUGAG